UUGCUUAGGCCCCCAUUUUUUUAAUGUGCUUUAUAAUUUAGCAAAGUAACUACAGUAAGUGCAUCAUGACCAAGUAUUCUUCUUUUUAAAGCGCUUUUCAUUCCUAACUAGACUUAGGAACUAAAUCUAUGCUGCAUUCCCUUCAAAAAUAUGCUAUUGUGUUUUUUGUUGUUGGUGUUGUACACAUUAGUAAGAGAUAGUUAGCGUAUAUUUUCUUCAUAUAGAUUUUGAUUCCUAACAGAAUCUGGGCUACUGUCUGCUUCAGAUUGAAUAUGGCACUGUAUUUCUGUUGGUGUUGUCACUAGAAAGUUAUAUUUUUUUACUUCAGAUAUAGUGUUAAGUGAUUCAGGAAUCAAGGGUGAAAAUUACAAGCUGCAAUAUGGAAUGAGGUUGAUGAUCUUAUGAAAGUUACGCAACAACUGGUCAUCAUGGCUACAAGGGAUGACGUCUCUUCCCGUCUUCCGCCGUCACACCCUAUAUAUGAGCACAAAGAUAGCUUGGAAAGCAUAAUUCCAUCCUCCUUGACUUUGAGGCCAACCAUUCUCAAAGUGAGAUCCACGUCUUCGACUUCAACAUAGAUUAUGAGGUGUUAUCAUCGUUACCUAGAUUGAGAUUGCUACCUUGUUGUAGGUAGAGAACUUAGUCCUCAUCGUGUCAUUUAUGUUUGUAGUUCCAUAGUAGACUAUGCAGGAAGUGAUGAACACCUCUGUUGUGAACCUGAGUACUACCUUGUGUGUAUAUACCUACUGUUAUCUCAAAACCAUGUGUAUAUACUUACCGUUAUCUUUGUCAA